UAAAAGGGAGACCCCAGAUACGUUAUUCUCUAAGCUCUCAUUUUUACCUAGAAACUCUGCUAAAAUUUUUGUUCGAGCACUCCAUUCUUGUUGAGGCAGAGAACUAACUUGAGCGUCGGAGGGUCUUGCCGGAGCAACCCCACCUCCGGUUUAGACUUCUUUUGCAGGUCCCGACGGUGACCGCGACUCCCUCGACUCCAGCUUCUCUGG
rnacentral:lncRNA from 1 species